GACGAACGCUGGCGGCGUGCUUAACACAUGCAAGUCGAACGGAAAGGCCCUGCUUUUGUGGGGUGCUCGAGUGGCGAACGGGUGAGUAACACGUGAGUAACCUGCCCUUGACUUUGGGAUAACUUCAGGAAACUGGGGCUAAUACCGGAUAGGAGCUCCUGCUGCAUGGUGGGGGUUGGAAAGUUUCGGCGGUUGGGGAUGGACUCGCGGCUUAUCAGCUUGUUGGUGGGGUAGUGGCUUACCAAGGCUUUGACGGGUAGCCGGCCUGAGAGGGUGACCGGCCACAUUGGGACUGAGAUACGGCCCAGACUCCUACGGGAGGCAGCAGUGGGGAAUAUUGCACAAUGGGCGGAAGCCUGAUGCAGCAACGCCGCGUGCGGGAUAACGGCCUUCGGGUUGUAAACCGCUUUCGCCUGUGACGAAGCGUGAGUGACGGUAAUGGGUAAAGAAGCACCGGAUAACUACGUG
rnacentral:rRNA from 1 species